AGAGGCCACUGACAGCUUGGAUGUGAGGCCACCAACCUCACAAAUGUAGGUAGUGCACUACACCAGGGGCAGCCUUUUCUCUAACACCACAAGGAUCUCCGGCCCUUGUGUGACAGUAAUCCUUGCUACACAC
rnacentral:snoRNA from 1 species